AGCGAACGCUGGCGGCAGGCCUAACACAUGCAAGUCGAACGGAUCCUUCGGGAUUAGUGGCGGACGGGUGUGUAACACGUGGGAACGUGCCCUUUGGUUCGGAACAACUCAGGGAAACUUGAGCUAAUACCGGAUGUGCCCUUCGGGGGAAAGAUUCAUCGCCAUUGGAGCGGCCCGCGUCUGAUUAGCUAGUUGGUGAGGUAAAGGCUCACCAAGGCGACGAUCAGUAGCUGGUCUGAGAGGAUGAUCAGCCACAUUGGGACUGAGACACGGCCCAAACUCCUACGGGAGGCAGCAGUGCGGAAUCUUGCGCAAUGGGCGAAAGCCUGACGCAGCCAUGCCGCGUGAAUGAUGAAGGUCUUAGGAUUGUAAAAUUCUUUCACCGGGGACGAUAAUGACGGUACCCGGAGAAGAAGCCCCGGCUAACUUCGUGCCAGCCGCCGCAGUAAGAC
rnacentral:rRNA from 1 species